rnacentral:lncRNA from 10 species
AUUGAACGGAGCGCAAAUAGGACUUACCCCUCCAGUACGUAAAUAGGCAACUACCCACAUAACAUGGUUUGCUGUUGGCUCCUGUUUAAAGAAAGUGUUCUCACUUCAAAUCUGAACGAUGAACAUCCCCUGGAAAUGGGCCUUCGAUUGAGAUAUUUUUCUGCAAAUUGCGCUACUUGCUCUACUGCUAUAAUGUUCAAAGUGAUAUGGACAAACAGUAAUUAAUGAAGCAGUUCUUUCUGAAAAGCAGGUAAAUCGUAGGACCCUGAAGUUAAUGUAAUUUUUCAGAACACUUGUAUCAGUAUUCUGGGAUCUACCCCAGUUAAAAUUCAUGGAACGAAGCUUUAUGCAAUUCAAAAUGCUUAAUAAAAAAAAGAAAGAGAAAAAGAGAGAAAGAAAAAAAGAAAGGAAGAAAAAGAAAGAAAAAGAAAGAAAGAAAGAAAGAAAAAAGAAAGAAAGAAAGAAAGAAAAGAGAGAGAAAGAAAAGAGAGAGAAAGAAGGAAAAUGAUGUGGUUAAAAAACAGGUAUUUGAAGCCAGCUGAGACUGAAGCUUAGCUGUUGUUUGGCAUUUUAAACAAUAAGAAUAAUGCAAAUUCUGCUUUCUGGAAAUACUUCACGGAAAAGAAUUGGUGGUUUAAUAAAAUAUUUUCCAGCUGCAACCUUUUUCACUUCUGGCCAUUAUUUACAGAUACCAGAAAUGGAAGUCAUGUAUUUAAAAUGAUAAUUUGUGAAGCUAAAACAUAAAAUGAAUACAAUUGAUCACAUGGUUAGGUUAAUUUAUACACCUAAACAAAUGACUUUUUAAAAUUCUCUCCAGCUUUAAUAUUCUGAGUUUUAGACUUUCUUAUAUUUUACCUUGCAACAUAAAG